GGGGAAUUAGGGUUCGAUUCCGGAGAGGGAGCCUGAGAAACGGCUACCACAUCCAAGGAAAGGCAGCAGACGCGCAAAUUACCCAAUCCCGAUACGGGGAGGUAGUGACAAAUAAAUACUGAUACGGGGCUCUUUUGGGUCUCGUAAUUGGAAUGAGAACAAUUUAAAUCCCUUAACGAGGAACAAUUGGAGGGCAAGUCUGGUGCCAGCAGCCGCGGGUAAUUCCAGCUCCAAUAGCGUAUAUUAAAGUUGUUGCAGUUAAAAAGCUCGUAGUUGAACCUUGGGUCUGGCUGGCCGGUCCGCCUCACCGCGAGUACUGGUCCGGCUGGACCUUUCCUUCUGGGGAACCUCAUGGCCUUCACUGGCUGUGGGGGGAACCAGGACUUUUACUGUGAAAAAAUUAGAGUGUUCAAAGCAGGCCUUUGCUCGAAUACAUUAGCAUGGAAUAAUAGAAUAGGACGUGCGGUUCUAUUUUGUUGGUUUCUAGGACCGCCGUAAUGAUUAAUAGGGAUAGUCGGGGGCGUCAGUAUUCAGCUGUCAGAGGUGAAAUUCUUGGAUUUGCUGAAGACUAACUACUGCGAAAGCAUUCGCCAAGGAUGUUUUCAUUAAUCAGGGAACGAAAGUUAGGGGAUCGAAGACGAUCAGAUACCGUCGUAGUCUUAACCAUAAACUAUGCCGACUAGGGAUCGGACGGGAUUCUAUGAUGACCCGUUCGGCACCUUACGAGAAAUCAAAGUUUUUGGGUUCUGGGGGGAGUAUGGUCGCAAGGCUGAAACUUAAAGAAAUUGACGGAAGGGCACCACAAGGCGUGGAGCCUGCGGCUUAAUUUG
rnacentral:rRNA from 1 species